ensembl:lncRNA
AAUAAUAACAACAUAAAAUUAUUAUGGUGACAUUUUUUCUGUGCUGUAUUAAGGUUACCAGAGUCAGCUGGGGAUUCAUGAACAUCAUCAGUGAUGUUUCUCCACAGCGGGCUCAUCAGUACCUGGUGACAAAAGGUCAAUCCAGCUCUGACUUGAGGCUGUUCAAGAAUCUGCGCCACUUGAUCUGGUUCCACCUCUACCACAGGCAGAGAAACACAGGCCUGGACUCUUUGUUGGCCAGACAAAAUCAGGAACGAAAUCAUUGGUUUUCACAACUGGGUCCAGUUCCACCUGCAAAGGAUAUAAGGCCAGGGAGCAUGAUUUGAUUACAGGAAGUCUCUGGCUGUGUUGCUGAAUCUGCCGGUGCAAGAUCAGACAUGGAUGGAUGAGGUGCUGCAACUGAGACCUGCCGUUUGUCUUUUCUGGUCGGCGAGUGGAGAAUCACACACAGUGGUCUGCAAAGAGAGCUUCAGGAUGCUUCCUCCCACUGUCCACUGCAUCGUCCAUCCACAGGGUUUGCAGGGCUGGCUCAAUCCAUGGCCACCACACCACUAACAUGUUUUCAGAAAUAUGCAAGCAGGAGAUAGUGGAUGGUAUAUUACUACUAGUACAAUACUUUUAACUUUGUAGCAGACAACACUUUGAUAAAAUGCUAUGAAAAAAAGAAACCAACAGAUUAGAUUCUAAAAGUUUCAAAGAGAUUUAAUUUACAUAUUUUAUAUAAUAAAGUAAAUGUACGAAUGACCGGCAAUAAUUCAGUCACUGAAAUUAUCCAUGAAAUUAGCUAAUUAAUUCCUAAAAGUGU